rnacentral:rRNA from 1 species
AUUGAACGCUGGCGGCAUGCCUUACACAUGCAAGUCGAACGGCAGCACGGGUGCUUGCACCUGGUGGCGAGUGGCGAACGGGUGAGUAAUACAUCGGAACAUGUCCUGUAGUGGGGGAUAGCCCGGCGAAAGCCGGAUUAAUACCGCAUACGAUCUACGGAUGAAAGCGGGGGACCUUCGGGCCUCGCGCUAUAGGGUUGGCCGAUGGCUGAUUAGCUAGUUGGUGGGGUAAAGGCCUACCAAGGCGACGAUCAGUAGCUGGUCUGAGAGGACGACCAGCCACACUGGAACUGAGACACGGCCCAGACUCCUACGGGAGGCAGCAGUGGGGAAUUUUGGACAAUGGGCGAAAGCCUGCUCCAGCAAUGCCGCGUGUGUGAAGAAGGCCUUCGGGUUGUAAAGCACUUUUGUCCGGAAAGAAAUCCUUGGCCCUAAUACGGUCGGGGGAUGACGGUACCGGAAGAAUAAGCACCGGCUAACUACGUG